rnacentral:rRNA from 1 species
GUACCUACGGGGCGCAGUAGGGAAUAUUGCGCAAUGGGGGAAACCCUGACGCAGCAACGCCGCGUGCGGGAUGACGGCCUUCGGGUUGUAAACCGCUUUCAGCAGGGAAGAACAUCGACGGUACCUGCAGAAGAAGCCCCGGCUAACUACGUGCCAGCAGCCGCGGUAAUACGUAGGGGGCGAGCGUUAUCCGGAUUCAUUGGGCGUAAAGCGCGCGUAGGCGGGUGCCUAAGCGGGACCUCUAACCUCGGGGCUCAACCCCGAGCCGGGUCCCGAACUGGGCGUCUCCAGUGCGGUAGGGGUGG